AGUGAACGCUGGCGGUAGGCCUAACACAUGCAAGUCGAACGGCAGCACAGUAAGUGCUUGCUCUUACGGGUGGCGAGUGGCGGACGGGUGAGGUAUACAUCGGAAUCUACUUUUUCGUGUGGGAUCACGUAGGGAAACUUACGCUAAUACCGCAUACUACCUACGGUUGAAAGCAGGGGAUCUUCUGACCUUGCGCGGUUGAAUGAGCCGUUGUCGGGUUAGCUAGUUGGCGGGGUAAAGGCCCACCAAGGCGACGAUCCGUAGCUGGUCUGAGAGGAUGAUCAGCUGCAGUGGGGCGGAGGCAGGGACCAGAAGCCUAAGGGAGGCAGCAGUGGGGAAUAUGGGACAGAGGGUGGAAGUCUGAUCAAGACAUACCGCGUGGGUGAAGAAGGCCCUGGGGUUGUAAAGCCGGUUUGUGGGGAAAGAAACGCAGCAGGUUAAGACCCCGCGGGUCUGACGGUACUCAAAGAAUAAGCACCGGCUAACUUAGUG
rnacentral:rRNA from 1 species